AGCAGCCGCGGUAAUUCCAGCUCCAAUAGCGUAUAUUAAAGUUGUUGCAGUUAAAAAGCUCGUAGUUGAAUUUCGGGAUCAAUAUAUCGGUCGUGCCUCCGGUAUGCACUGGUAUUAUUGAUUUCUACCUUCUGACGAACUGUGAUGUCAUUAAUUUGGUGUCAUGGGGAAUCAGGACUGUUACUUUGAAAAAAUUAGAGUGUUUAAAGCAGGCACACGCUUGAAUACAUUAGCAUGGAAUAAUGAAAUAGGACGUUUGACCCUAUUUUGUUGGUUUCUAGGAUCGACGUAAUGAUUAAUAGGGAUAGUUGGGGGCAUUAGUAUUCAAUUGUCAGAGGUGAAAUUCUUGGAUUUAUUGAAGACUAACUACUGCGAAAGCAUUUGCCAAGGAUGUUUUCAUUAAUCAAGAACGAAAGUUAGGGGAUCGAAGACGAUCAGAUACCGUCGUAGUCUUAACCAUAAACUAUGCCGACUAGGGAUCGGAUGAUGUUAAUUUUUUAAUGUACUCAUUC
rnacentral:rRNA from 1 species